AGGACGUGGAGCUGCUCGAGGUGGUGGU
rnacentral:sRNA from 1 species